rnacentral:rRNA from 1 species
GAUGAACGCUGGCGGCGUGCCUAAUACAUGCAAGUCGAGCGAACAGACGAGGAGCUUGCUCCUCUGACGUUAGCGGCGGACGGGGGAGUAACACGUGGAUAACCUACCUAUAAGACUGGGAUAACUUCGGGAAACCGGAGCUAAUACCGGAUAAUAUAUUGAACCGCAUGGUUCAAUAAUUAAAGACGGUUUUGCUGUCACUUAUAGAUGGAUCCGCGCCGCAUUAGCUAGUUGGUAAGGUAACGGCUUACCAAGGCAACGAUGCGUAGCCGACCUGAGAGGGUGAUCGGCCACACUGGAACUGAGACACGGUCCAGACUCCUACGGGAGGCAGCAGUAGGGAAUCUUCCGCAAUGGGCGAAAGCCUGACGGAGCAACGCCGCGUGAGUGAUGAAGGUCUUCGGAUCGUAAAACUCUGUUAUUAGGGAAGAACAAAUGUGUAAGUAACUAUGCACGUCUUGACGGUACCUAAUCAGAAAGCCACGGCUAACUACGUG